GAUUCGUCACACUAUCAUUAACUGAAUCCAUAGGUUAAUGAGGCGAACCGGGGGAACUGAAACAUCUAAGUACCCCGAGGAAAAGAAAUCAACCGAGAUUCCCCCAGUAGCGGCGAGCGAACGGGGAGGAGCCCAGAGCCUGAAUCAGCAUGUGUGUUAGUGGAAGCGUCUGGAAAGGCGCGCGAUACAGGGUGACAGCCCCGUACACAAAAGCGCAUGUGCUGUGAGCUCGAUGAGUAGGGCGGGACACGUGGUAUCCUGUCUGAAUAUGGGGGGACCAUCCUCCAAGGCUAAAUACUCCUGACUGACCGAUAGUGAACCAGUACCGUGAGGGAAAGGCGAAAAGAACCCCGGCGAGGGGAGUGAAAAAGAACCUGAAACCGUGUACGUACAAGCAGUGGGAGCACCCUUCGGGGUGUGACUGCGUACCUUUUGUAUAAUGGGUCAGCGACUUAUAUUCUGUAGCAAGGUUAACCGUAUAGGG
rnacentral:rRNA from 1 species